UACGAAGGGGGCUAGCGUUGCUCGGAUUGACUGGGCGUAAAGGGCGCGUAGGCGGUUCGUACAGUCAGACGUGAAAUUCCUGGGCUCAACCUGGGGGCUGCGUUUGAUACGUGCGGACUUGAGUGCGGAAGAGGGUCGUGGAAUUCCCAGUGUAGAGGUGAAAUUCGUAGAUAUCGGGAGGAACACCAGUGGCGAAGGCGGUUUCCUGGACAGUUACUGACGCUCAGGCACGAAAGCAUGGGGAGCAAAAGGG
rnacentral:rRNA from 1 species